UACGGAGGGGGCUAGCGUUGUUCGGAAUUACUGGGCGUAAAGCGCUCGUAGGCGGAUUGGUCAGUCAGAGGUGAAAGCCCAGGGCUCAACCUUGGAAUUGCCUUUGAUACUGCCAGUCUUGAGUUCGGGAGAGGUGAGCGGAAUUCCGAGUGUAGAGGUGAAAUUCGUAGAUAUUCGGAGGAACACCAGAGGCGAAGGCGGCUCACUGGACCGAUACUGACGCUGAGGAGCGAAAGCGUGGGGAGCAAACAGG
rnacentral:misc_RNA from 1 species